GCAGAUUCGUCCACCAUGAACCAGACUAGUACAACUGAUGCAACGGAGAGAACCACAACAACGGAAACAGAUUCGUCCACCAUGAACCAGGCUAGUACAACUGAUGCAACGGAGAGAAUCACAACAACGGAAACAGAUUCGUCCACCAUGAACCAGACUAGUACAACUGAUGCAACGGAGAGAAUCACAACAACGGAA